GGAGCCUCCGGUGAGAAAUUGAUUUUUACUGUUGAAACUCAACCUAGUUGCAUGGUUGCGCUGGUGUUUCCGAGGGGUCUGUGUCCAGGGUCUCCAUGACUCUGAACAGCCAGUCCUAUUUGUGGAAGCUCUCUUUCAGGUAGUCGCAGACACACACUACGGUGCCAGAGCCACAGCCAUGUUCACGUGACACUUCUGAGAGUUGAGGGUUUCUCUAGGAACCCCCUUGUUGGAUGUUCUUGGUUAAUCGGUAGUACCAGUACUGUGUGACCCCACUUGACAUAAGGAAACUGAGGCAUGUGGUUACUGGCGCACUGUCCCAGAGUCAUUGUACUGAGAACAGACCAAUUUGUUCUUGAUGCUUUGAUUGGCCGAGAGGCCUCCAACAACCACAGUGGGGCAGUCCAGCAUGGGCCCAUCCCCCAAGUGAAAGCCCAGUAUAAGAGUACAGUAGGUACAGGCCAUCAGAGGAGCCUCUGGGCUCCUCUCUGUGAGUGCAAGUCUAUAAGGAACCCAGGAAACAGAAAGCUGUGUGCAGAGUGAACCCCUCUCAUGUCCAAAGGGAUGAAUGACAGUCACAAGCUUCAGAAUGACUGGGACAGUUGAUGGAGAACAUUCUAGAAGGGCCAAGUUCCCAAUUACCUGUAGGGGGAAUUUGAGGAUAUUCCACUCCUAACAGCUCUAACUGUGGCUACCUGGAAGUGAUGGACACUCCCUUCCAGGACUCUGAGUAUUUUACCCUGAAUAGAGAGGAGGGGAAGGAGGAGGGGAGGAGGAAGAAUGGGAAGAGGGAAAGAGGGAGUGGGGAAGGACAACUGCCAAGGACCAGCCUCAGCUUGGAGAGGGGUCCCUGAGAGAAGGGGUGUUUGAGAGCGGCAAAACGAGCAACUCCUCGUCAAAUCAUGGGUUACGAACUGACAGCCUGAGUUCUGCUCAAGCCAGGUUGCUCUCUUUACACUCUUCUUUCUCUAGAGUUCUCCAGAGAGCUCUCUGCUCCAGACAACUUUCUUGCAAUUCUAAAAACUCGCCGGAUAGCUCAUUUCUUGCAGAUCAAAAGCUCAGUCUUGAACGUACAUAUCGAUCCACUCAUCAACCCAGGUUCCCUUUUGAAUUAGCAUCCCAGGACCCCAGCCCCUUGAUUCUUAGAAAGAGACAGCAAGAGCCAGGCUUGGUGGUACAUGCCUUUAAUCCCAGCAGAGGCAGGUGAUUUCUGAGUUCGAGGCCAGCCUGGUCUACAGAGUGAGUUCCUGUUUGUUUGACAGCCAGGGCUAUACAGAGAAGCCCUGUCUCAAAAUACCAAAACCAAAACCAAACAGAGAGAGAGAGAGAGAAAGAGAGAGAGAGUGAGAGAGAGAGAGAGAGGAGAGAGAGAGACAGUAGAGAGAGAGACAGGAGAGAGAGAGGAGAGAGAGAAGAGAGAGAGAGAGAGCACAAGCACAGACAGGGUUGGGACCCUGAGUUGAAAUUAACAUUUCUAUCACAUCUAGCACUGGACCUAAACUCCUGUCCCAGGCUGACCUUGAACUGAGGAAUCUGCCUGUCCUUAUAUCUUUCUGGCUCAUAGUGCAGCUGCCUCUGUUCCUUUAGAUCCACGAAGCUCCUUAUACACUUCAUAUAGUAUCUUUGUAUUUUGCAUAGUUGAGAAAUUAUAUAUUUUCAAACUCAAGUUUUCAGCGUUCUUUCCCACAGCCUUAAGGGCUGUCCUGAAGGUCACAGAGUUGAACUGUUUUGCUGAGAUGUAGAAACACCCUCACCUUCUGGACUCCUGCUGUUUCUGACUACCCUGGGGUUAUUGAUCUUGGCCGAGAGGACAUUCCUCAAAGGAGGAAUGUGAAAAUAUGUACACUAUUAUACACAAACAAGGCUUUACCCACAGCAAUCAACAACAGUUGUGGGGGCCUAUACCCUGCUGGCUCUGUUCCAGGGGCGGGAAGCCAGGUCAUACUGUCUCUUACAUGGCCAACCUGAACUUAGCAGAUAAUGAUAGCAGCUUUGAAUUGAGCAGCCACCACGUGACUGAAACAGACUCAGUGGGUCUGCUGAAGGGGCCUGAUGGCUGGCUCCUCUUCACAUAGAACUUCAGCUAAACAUUCUCCAAGAUGUCUUCUCAGUCUCAUAUGGCCUUUAAGCCCCCAUUUUAUGACAAAGCAACCAGGGUUCAGCCAGAGUCUGGCUUGGGUUGGUCACCUACAGCUACACAACACAUUCCCUGGCUGUUUCCCUGGAAGCCUUAGGAGCCACAAGGCUGGGAUCAAGAGAGAUGGUUUUCCUACCUCAGAUGUCUGAGAAAGUCACAGGCUAGAGGUGACCUCGAGUGACCAUAGUAGGAAGGAAGACUUUGUGGAGCCUGGGCUCUAAGUGUUAGUUACUUUCAUGACCCAAAGCAACUUGAGAAGGAAUGGCUUUAUUCUAGCUAGCAACUCUCAAGUCAUAAUCUAUCACUAAAGGAAGUCAGGAUAGGAAUUCAAGCAGGGCAGAAACCUGGAGGCAGCAGCUGAUGCAGAGGCCAUGGAAGGGUGAGGCAUACUGGAUUGUUUUUCAUUACUUGCUCAUCCUGUUUUCUUAUAUAGAACCCAGGACCACCAGCCCUGGGAUGGCUCCACCCACAGUGGGCGGGGCCCUCCCUCAUCAAUCACUAGUUAAGAUAUGCCCCUACUGAUGCAGGCGUCUUUUCAGUUGAAGUUCCUCUUCCCGGAUAACUCUAGCUCAUGUGAAGCUGACAAAAACCUCUGAUUGAGCAGCCACCAUGUGAUUGAAACUGAUGGGGCUGCUGGCUUGUUCCUCUACGUAGAACUAUGGGAUUGGCUGACUGUGCCUGACAUGUCACGACUGCUGCUAUGACCCAGAAGAGCAGGCAGAAGAGGCCAUGGUGAACUGAGUGACCCAGCCCUGAAAGUCUCGCUUUGCCUCAGCCACAUCCCUUCCGUAGAAAUGACUCACUAAGGGAAGUGACUUAAGGCCAUCAUUAAGGAGAGAGGUGAGGGCUACGCCUUAGACACAGGGUUUGUGUGGGCAUCAAAAACACCCCAGGGCUCCAGUUCUGUAACUGGAAAUGGGUGAGGCUCCACCCACGGAUGCCACUUCUUGCUGUGGGAUGCAGCAGCCUCUCCCUCGAUCUCUUCCAGAGGCUUGUUAAUUACACUGAAAAGCAGAAAAAUCAUGUGUCCAACUAUAACAGAUUUUUUUUUCCCAAUUAGAUUCUCUUAUAGCACAGGCUGACCCUGAAUUCUCAGGCCUCCUGCCUCAGUCUCACCAAUUCUGGAUGGGAUGGCAGAUGUGUAAAAACAUAUGCCUUGGCUUGGGAAAACUUCAAUACAUGUUGGAAACAAGUUGAGGGAGUGAACCUAUUCUCCCCUUAGAUUUCACAAACUCUAAAUUACAUCCAGCAUUUCCAGGGAAUAUUUACUGCCCAGAUUGGAUUUUGAAGUCAGUGUGAACAAAAGAGAAUGAACCAACACAUUAAUGUUCUGAGACUGAUCCCAUGCGGAGUUGGUAAUAUUUAUAAAAUGUUGGGUUAAAUAAUAAGGUCAACUUUUUUGUUGUUGUUUUGUUUUUUGAGACAGGGUUUCUGUGUGUAGCCCUGGCUGUCCUGGAACUCACUCUGUAGGCCAGGAUGGCCUGGAACUCAGAAAUCCACCUGCCUCUGCCUCCCAAGUGCUGGGAUUAAAGGUGUGCGGCACCACUGCCCAGCCUAAAGUCAACUUUUUUUUAGAGGAAUAUGUGUGCUGGAGGUGAGCAUACCAGGCAUGUAAGUGUGGAGGCCAGAGGUGGGAAUCCAGCAUCUUCCUUUAUUGCUCUCUGCCUUUCACUUUUAUUAUUUUUUGAUUAUGCAUAGGUUGGUGUGCCAGCCUGUGGGUAUCUGCACAGGAAUACAGGUGCAUACAGAGGCCAGAGAUCCCCUGGACAGAUCCCCUUGGAGCUGGAAUGACAGACAACUAGGAGCCACCUGCCAUGGGUAGCAGGAACAGGUAAUGACACCAUCUGUAGGUGGUAUACCAUAGAUGUACAGAAGGCACAUGAGAGUGUGUGCACACAUGCACACGUGUGUACAUGUACAUGCACAAAGAGUGGGCUAUACAAAUGGAAGGCAGAUGCAUACUCGGAACCUGUCCGUGAUUCCUACUUCUCAAGCAUCCGUUUAAUGCUGCUUACUGCUUUUUUGUUUCUAUAACCUCUUUAUUGACAUUUAAUCUUUGCACCCUAACAUGCAUCUCUUCAAAUGCAGAGUCUGAAGGUCUUUAGCAUGUUGUCUUUAGCAUGCUGUGCAAGUUGUGCACGGAUUGAACUCUCUUACCCUGCAAUGGUUGGAAUGAACCACCAACUUGACAGGAUCCAGGGAAUCUCCCAGGAGAUGACCCCUAGGCAUGCUUGCAGGGGAUCAUCUUGAUUUUGUUCUCUGAGGUAGGAAGACCUGCCCACUGUGGGUGGUGCCAUCCCCUGGCUGGGAUCCUGGACUGUAUAAAAGCAACAGGGGGCUGAGCAGUGGCCUGCACCCAUAGCUCUCUGCUUCCUAACUGUGGCCGGAUGUGAGGAUGUGAUGUGACCAACUCCCUCAGGCUCCUGCCGCAGUGACUUCCCAACCGUGAUGGAUUGUAACUUGCAACUCUGAGCAAAAUAAAUCCUUUCUCCCUGAAGUUGCUUUGGUCAGAGUAUUUUAUCACAGCAACAGGAGACACCCAUCCCCAGGAGUAGCUAACCCCAUUUUCCAACCUUUUGUGCCCUGCCAGUUAGGCUCCUGCUCUCUGUGAAGAAUUCCCUCCUCAUGUUUCCCCAUCCCCAUGCUCUGUGCCUUCAUCCCCUGCCUGGCUCUGUCUUCACCUCUGAUGAUAGACUCUCAGCAUCCUGAUCAUCUCUGCAUCCCUCAGAGCUGAUGCUGUUCCUGGUCCCUGGUGCGGACUCAUUGAAAUCAAGCAGAUGAGGAUAUAAAUGGAGAGGGUGCGGAUGGGGCUAUGGGCUAGGACCCGAUGAUACCACCUUUGGGGAAAUCAGAUCUGCUUGUGCGGAAAAAACAUCUCCUUAACCAUGAGGGGCGGAGAGGAUGGCAAGGCUCAGGAGUCAAAUGGACUUACUUACUCAGGAAUUCAAACCUUGCCUCUGUUACCCGCCAGCCAGGCAGCCCUUGGAAAUCAUUUCCUCACCUUUAAAAUGGGUAGAGUUCCUCCA
rnacentral:lncRNA from 1 species